rnacentral:snoRNA from 1 species
AAGACUCUACUUUCAGGGAUCAUUUCUAUACUUAGUUAUCAUAUGAUAGCAGUUUCUGUGAUCGUGUGGUGCCCCAGACCACGAGGGGAGGCUCAGCUUUCUUUCCUGAGCAUGAAACUGGCUCUUGGUGUGACUUUGCUGCAACUGCCAUUUGCCAUGGAUGAUCGUUCUUCUCUAUCUUUGGGAGAGUAAGAGGGAGAGGAUGCAGUCUGAGCGGU